rnacentral:rRNA from 1 species
UACGUAGGGACCAAGCGUUGUUCGGAUUUACUGGGCGUAAAGGGCGCGUAGGCGGCGUGACAAGUCACUUGUGAAAUCUCUGAGCUUAACUCAGAACGGCCAAGUGAAACUGUUGUGCUAGAGUGCAGAAGGGGCAAUCGGAAUUCUUGGUGUAGCGGUGAAAUGCGUAGAUAUCGUAAGGAAGACCAGUGGCGAAGGCGGGUCUCUGGACAGUUCCUGACGCUGAGGCACGAAGGUCAGGGGAGCAAACGGG